rnacentral:rRNA from 1 species
GACGAACGCUGGCGGCGUGCUUAACACAUGCAAGUCGAACGGUGAAGCUCCAGCUUGCUGGGGUGGAUCAGUGGCGAACGGGUGAGUAACACGUGGGCAACCUGCCCCUGACUCUGGAAUAAGCUCUGGAAACGGCGUCUAAUACUGGAUACGAGAAGUGUCCGCAUGGGCACUUUCUGUAAAGUUUUUCGGUUGGGGAUGGGCUCGCGGCCUAUCAGCUUGUUGGUGAGGUAAUGGCUGACCAAGGCGACGACGGGUAGCCGGCCUGAGAGGGCGACCGGCCACGCUGGGACUGAGACACGGCACAGACUACUACGGGAGGCAGCAGUGGGGAAUAUUGCACAAUGGGCGAAAGCCUGAUGCAGCGCCGCCGCGUGAGGGAUGACGGCCUUCGGGUUGUAAACCUCUUUCAGCAGGGAAGAAGCGAAAGUGACGGUACCUGCAGAAGAAGCACCGGCUAACUACGUG